rnacentral:ncRNA from 1 species
CAAGACGAUCCAGUACGCGUAACUUAAACCUCUUAUAUUUCAGGUCACUCACCUUGAAUAAUUGAGGGAUGACCUCAUUUAAUCUCCAGUAGCAAUUUUGACCUGUUAUGGGAGGAGUUAUGCGUCUGGAUCGUCUUAC